rnacentral:lncRNA from 1 species
GGCAGGGGGGACGUGAGGUUGGGGGGAACCUGGGACUGGGCACAGCUUGGGGGGAGCAGGGUGGGAGGUGGGGCUGGGCUGGGGGUGGGGGGGGUUGGAGCUGGGGGAGCUGGGCACGGUGACCCCGGGGCUGCGGUCCCCGUCCUGCUGCUGCUCCUUGGGUGCAGGGACCAGCUUACCUGGCGUGGCCAAUUCCGGUCCCCAGCCCCCCCCAGCGCCCCCCAGCCAGGUCUCCUGGAGUCUCGCUGCCCGGUGGGCACAGCAGGACGUGUGGCUGGCACACAGAGCUCUCUCCUCCUCCAAAAUUCACCCUCCGUGUCCCUUUCCCCCCGCAGGAAGGCGAUGGAUGGGGACGGGGACCCUGCCUGGAGCGGCGGCAGCUCCCUCCCGGAGGUGGGUUGGUGGCACAUGGCAUCCAGGGGGACACGGUGGGGGCACGGAAACGGGCGAAACCGGGGGUGGGAGGUGGGUGCUGGGUGGUGCCGGGACCCGGCUGGGAGCCAGCUGGGCCCGUGCCGGUUCCCGGUGGCCCAUGUGGGGUGAGUUUGCCGGGGCUCAGCCGGCUGCCGCAUGCCCAGCGUGGGGCCGGUGUGCGGCACCGCAGCCGGUUGCCCCGGCGAGGCCACGCUGGCCCUCCCCAGCAGGGUCCGGUGGGGGGGGGUGGACCCAAGCUGUGUCCCCCCCAUCCCUCAUCCCCAGCGGGGUCCCCCCGCUCGGCGGGACCCAGGCAGCCGAGGGGCCCGAGUGGAGGAACCGGCUGCGGCGUCUCCCCGCGAGCGGCGGCAGCGGCGGCGGCGGCGGUGGGGAGGGGGGGGAGGCGGGGGCCGGUGCCAGAUGGAGCCGGCUCCGCGCUGCAAUAUUUCUGGGAGGUGAAGGCUGGGGAGAGAUGGAUGCGGUAACGCGCGGCGGAGCCACCGCCGGGGAAUGUCGGCCGAGGGGAGGAGAGCGGCGGGAGAGGGAACCCAACCUGUCCCCGUCCCUGUCCCCGCUGCCUUUGGGGACGAAGUGGCCCACCCGGGGAUGGGUCCCCGGAGAAGCUUUCCCUCGUGGGACCCGUCCCUGGGCAUCUUCCAGGCACCGGGUGAGCAGGGCCUCGUCUGCGGGUG